rnacentral:rRNA from 1 species
GACGAACCGUACGAACGUUAUUCGGAAUCACUGGGCUUAAAGGGUGCGUAGGCUGCGCAGCAAGUUGGGUGUGAAAUCCCUCGGCUUAACCGAGGAACUGCGCCCAAAACUGCUGUGCUCGAGGGAGAUAGAGGUGAGCGGAACUUAGGGUGGAGCGGUGAAAUGCGUUGAUAUCCUAAGGAACACCGGUGGCGAAAGCGGCUCACUGGAUCUCUUCUGACGCUGAGGUACGAAAGCUAGGUAGCGAACGGG